rnacentral:rRNA from 1 species
ACGAACGCUGGCGGCGUGCUUAACACAUGCACGUCGAACGGAAAGGCCCUGCUUUUGUGGGGUGCUCGAGUGGCGAACGGGUGAGUAACACGUGAGUAACCUGCCCUUGACUUUGGGAUAACUUCAGGAAACUGGGGCUAAUACCGGAUAGGAGCUCCUGCUGCAUGGUGGGGGUUGGAAAGUUUCGGCGGUUGGGGAUGGACUCGCGGCUUAUCAGCUUGUUGGUGGGGUAGUGGCUUACCAAGGCUUUGACGGGUAGCCGGCCUGAGAGGGUGACCGGCCACAUUGGGACUGAGAUGCGGCCCAGACUCCUACGGGAGGCAGCAGUGGGGAAUAUUGCACAAUGGGCGGAAGCCUGAUGCAGCAACGCCGCGUGCGGGAUGACGGCCUUCGGGUUGUAAACCGCUUUCGCCUGUGACGAAGCGUGAGUGACGGUAAUGGGUAAAGAAGCACCGGCUAACUACGUG